rnacentral:rRNA from 1 species
AGGAUAAACGCUGGCGGCGUGCAUGAGACAUGCAAGUCGAACGGACGAUCAGGGCUUGCUCUGAUCGUUAGUGGCGGACGGCUGAGUAACGCGUAGGUGACCUGCCCCGAAGUGGGGAAUAACUGCCCGAAAGGGUGGCUAAUACCGCAUGUGGUGGUGUGUUCAUUCACACCAGUAAAGCCGCAAGGCGCUUCGGGAGGGGCCUGCGUCCGAUUAGCUCGUUGGUGGGGUAACGGCUCACCAAGGCGACGAUCGGUAGGUGGUCUGAGAGGACGAUCACCCAGACUGGGACUGAGACACGGCCCAGACUCCUACGGGAGGCAGCAGUCGGGAAUUUUGCGCAAUGGACGAAAGUCUGACGCAGCAACGCCGCGUGAGGGAUGAAGGCCUUCGGGUUGUAAACCUCUUUUAUCGGGGAAGAUAAUGACGGUACCUGAUGAAUAAGUCACGGCUAACUACGUGCCAGCAGCCGC